rnacentral:misc_RNA from 1 species
GGUGCGCCAUCUCACGCUGAGCGAUCCUCGGCGACUUGGCCGCUUCCGAACU